UUGCUUUGGGAGCACAUAUACUAAAAUUGGAGCGAUACAGAGAAGACCAGCUUGGCCCCUGCAUGAGGAUGACCCGCAAUGAUAGCAAAAAAGAUUAUCUGAU